rnacentral:rRNA from 1 species
UCAUGGCUCAGGACGAACGCUGGCGGCGUGCUUAACACAUGCAAGUCGAACGAUGAACCUCUUCGGGAGGGGAUUAGUGGCGAACGGGUGAGUAACACGUGGGCAAUCUGCCCUGCACUCUGGGACAAGCCCUGGAAACGGGGUCUAAUACCGGAUACUGACCCGCUUGGGCAUCCAAGCGGUUCGAAAGCUCCGGCGGUGCAGGAUGAGCCCGCGGCCUAUCAGCUUGUUGGUGAGGUAAUGGCUCACCAAGGCGACGACGGGUAGCCGGCCUGAGAGGGCGACCGGCCACACUGGGACUGAGACACGGCCCAGACUCUACGGGAGGCAGCAGUGGGGAAUAUUGCACAAUGGGCGAAAGCCUGAUGCAGCGACGCCGCGUGAGGGAUGACUGGCUUCGGGUUGUAAACCUCUUUCAGCAGGGAAGAAGCGAAAGUGACGGUACCUGCAGAAGAAGCGCCGGCUAACUACGUGCCAGCAGCCGCGGUAAUACGUAGGGCGCGAGCGUUGUCCGGAAUUAUUGGGCGUAAAGAGCUCGUAGGCGGCUUGUCACGUCGGUUGUGAAAGCCCGGGGCUUAACCCCGGGUCUGCAGUCGAUGCGGGCAGGCUAGAGUUCGGUAGGGGAGAUCGGAAUUCCUGGUGUAGCNGUG